rnacentral:rRNA from 1 species
UGGGGAAUAUUGGACAAUGGGGGCAACCCUGAUCCAGCAAUGCCGCGUGUGUGAAGAAGGCCUGCGGGUUGUAAAGCACUUUAGUUGGGGAGGAAGGGUUUUCACUUGAAUAGAGUGGAGCAUUGACGUUACCCAAAGAAUAAGCACCGGCUAACUCUGUGCCAGCAGCCGCGGUAAUACAGAGGGUGCGAGCGUUAAUCGGAAUUACUGGGCGUAAAGGGUGCGUAGGUUGUUUGUUAAGUUAGAUGUGAAAUCCCCGGGCUUAACCUGGGAAUGGCAUUUGAUACUGACGGACUAGAGUCGGGUAGAGGGAAGUGGAAUUUCCGGUGUAGCGGUGAAAUGCGUAGAUAUCGGAAGGAACACCAGUGGCGAAGGCGGCUUCCUGGACUUAGACUGACACUGAGGCACGAAAGCGUGGGUAGCAAACAGGAUUAGAUACCCCCGUAGUCCCUGAGCGGGCUGGCAAGGCGCAU